UCCCAGCACCCCGAGUGGUCGGGACGAUUAUUGGGCCUAAAGCAUCCGUAGCCGGUUUUACAAGUCCUCCGUUAAAUCCAGCUGCUUAACAGAUGGGCUGCGGAGGAUACUAUAAGACUAGGAGGCAGGAGAGGCAAGCGGUACUCAGUGGGUAGGGGUAAAAUCCGUUGAUCCAUUGAAGACCACCAGUGGCGAAGGCGGCUUGCCAGAACGCACUCGACGGUGAGGGAUGAAAGCUGGGGGAGCAAACCGG
rnacentral:rRNA from 1 species